AGUGAACGCUGGCGGUAGGCCUAACACAUGCAAGUCGAACGAACACACAGUAAGCUCUUGCUCUUACGGGUGGCGGGUGACGGACGGGUGAGGCAUACAUCGGAAUCUUCUUUUUCGGGGAGGAUAACGUAGGACAACAUACGCUACUACCGCAUAUGACCUACGGGUUAAAUCAGUGGAUCUUCGCACCUUGCGUGUUAGAAUGAGCCGAUGUCGGAUUAGCUAGUUGGUGGGGUAAGGGCUUACCAAGGCAACGAUGCGUAGCUGACCUGAGAGGAUGAUCAGCCACACUGGAACUGAGACACGGUCCAGACUCCUACGGGAGGCAGCAGUAGGGAAUCUUCGACAAUGGGCGCAAGCCUGACCGAGCCACGCCGCGUGGGUGAAGAAGGCCUUCGGGUCGUAAAGCCCUGUUGUUAGGAAAGAACAGAAGCGGAAGAAAACAUGGAUGUUUUGACGGUACCUAAAGAAAAAGCAACGGCUAACUUCGUG
rnacentral:rRNA from 1 species